GUUUAAAAAAGAAAAUGGGGGGAGGGGAAUGUAUGUGGGUUUGUUUAAAUGCUGAAGAAAACUGUUCUAAGCAGCUGGAUGAAUAAAAGGGAGGAGCACUAAAGAAAGAAUGCGCUAAAUCUAAAGAUACAAGAACAACACCCAGGAAUUGAUUGAAAAUGCUUUGGUGACAAGUGAGGCAUGUAAUGACAAGAAAGCAGCAUGUGUGCAUAUUGAGGAGUGCAUGUGGAAAACAGGUUUCUCCUUUUAAUUAGCUUUGCCGCUGGGAGGACCUUCUCUCUCCACUUUCUGUCCAGCUCUUCCAUCCCAGAAUUCCACUCUGGGUUCUUGUGAUGUGCUAACGAGGCUGCAGGGCAGCUCUGAUUGAGUGGGCCAAUAAUACUGGCUCAAGGCCACCUAGAGAAGUGUUCUCCCCGUGUAUGUAAGGGGAAGUGCUGGGUGCAGCCUCUGGGGUGGGGUUAUUCCUAUCCUCCUCUUUCCUGCCUGGACCAUGCAGAUGAGGGCCAUCCCCUAGAGAUAAUGAAGCAAUAAGAUGGGAGAUACCUGGCAGUCCUUGACACCAUGGACCCGCCAUACUAGUCUUUGGCUGCAAACUCUCACGCUGUCAUGGAAGAUAAAUAAACCUCAAUACUGCUUAAGCCAUUGAAACUUUAGGUCUCUGUUGCACACAGAUGAACCCAUAGUCCAACAAAUGUAUCUUCUUGACUAAAUCUUACCUUCUUACUCUGAUGAUUUAUAUUCAGAGAAUAAAUUUAACUUUGUCUAUAUCUGGGGUAAAAAAGAACAGCUCUUCAAUAAAUCUGCUUCUCUCCAAAAAUAUUCCAGAAAAUUCAUGUGAUUGGAAUUAUGUUGAGAAAUUUUUAUUUCGUAUUUUUAUCUUUUAUUUCAAUUUUUCUACAAACUUUUUGAAGUCCCCUGUGUGUAUGUAUAUGUACAUUCCUGAGCUGGAGUAUAACAUUACUUUGGACAAAAUUCUUUACAUUAAAAUUCACUUCUAGAAUAAAGAGGUUCACAACUAUAGGUUUCAAAGAAUAUCAGAACAAGAAAGAGAACAAGAGAUCUCUCUCCAGGUUAAACAUCAUUCCACUAUCGAUGAGGUUUGAAUGUAGUUGCUCAAGCAGCUGUAUAUUCACCUAAACAGAGUAACAACCCAGUCUACAUUUCUCCACCAUAUCCAUCAUAUAAUGUGAGGAUUUCGGAGUGAUUUUGUCAGAUGUAGGGUUAAACUCCAUUGCCAGCACCCCUCAAUGUACCCAAACAGGAAUAGUCUACUUUUCCUGAUUCCUUUUUAAAGUCUCACAAAUUAUCUUUUUAAUUAAGCAUUCUAUAAUUUUUUCCCAGGAAACAGCUUCGAUUUUAUCAGCUGGUAUUUAUUGUCCAUGAGUCACCUUUUGGACUACUGGGUUGACAUUUCCUCAAUUCCUGUCUUUUGGCCACUCUCAUGAGAGCUGAAAAACAUUUUUACUACAUCUUGCCUCUCGCAGUUUGAAACUGGGGUUAGGAAACAUGGCCUAUGGAUGGUAGUGGCUUGUGGUCCCUGGUUUUAAACUGCUCCCAUGGUGGAAUCACUUGAGUCUCUCUCCUUUCAUCUCCACACAAAUAUUCUCCAUCCCACCUCUUCGUGCAGGCUUCUGGCUUUCUGUGCACUUUCAGACAUUUUGGACAUAUAAUGCUCCUCUGCUAUCUGUUCUCUCAGGGCUUCCAUAUUCUAGUCCUGAGCCCUGUGUUUCAGGGGUAUCUAGGAAAUCUUGAUUUCUUUCAGGUGUUAACAUCUCAAGUUCCUUUGCUUCAUAUUCACACUUGAAAUCAGAUAUAACAUUCCUUACUUUUUCCUCCUGUUAUUUUUGCAUGCAAAUUAAGAGAUUCUCCAAUUGCUCUGUGUCAUACGUUUUCUUACGAAUAACAGGGCUUAUAGUUUCACUUGAGUAAUUUUUCCACCCUCUUAAACUGCAGUUUAAGGUCUUGAUGAGGUUACCAAAUCUCUGACAAGCAUAUAUUCUUUCCAGUCUUCACAGGGCACGCUUCGGCCCUUGCUAGGAGUCCAUCGUUCUGCCAUAACAUUUGCUCCCAGGUCAUCUGCUUGCAAGAGGCAAUCGAGAGUUUGGGAAACCCUUACAAAAGAAAUGACAAUAGUUUAUUUUUAGCUCCUGACAUUUUGUGCUCCUAAUACCCAGUAAGCCUUUCUGCCCCACAGUCAGGAUGCUUUAAUUGGCAGUAAAUGGUGAGGCGGUAACCCAUCCAGAAAAACUAACUUUUAUUUGAUAGUAUGUAUAAAACCAUCUGUUCAUUUCCCAUACCUCUUCCAGACAUGACCUUCAACUGGAAGGGAUUAAAACAAACAAACAAACAAAAAAAAAAAACACAAAAAACACUUGUGCCCCAGAGCCUUUGGUUUACCACCCAGGGCUCUGAUCACUCGAGAUACAUUCCAGAAUUCAUUUAACAUGUGUUCCCACCGGAGUCAGCAGAAUGGGUAACCACGGGCAGACAGCACAUUCUGGCAAUUCUCAGGCCCAUGCUCCAGAAAGACAGCCUUAAGUUCAUACUCAGGGUUUAUAAAUAGUGAGUCAUCAACCACUACCAGUUGUCUUGGUACUAGUGACAUAAUCUUGUAACUCCUGGUGACUAGAGAGCUUCAUUAAUUUUGUGGAGAAUUUUUUUUUUUUUUUUUGACAGUGAUGGAGUCUCAUUUUGUUGCCCAGGCUGGAGUGCAGUGACGCAAUCUCAGCUCACUGAGACCUCCAUCUCCCAGGUUCAAGUGAUCCUCCUGCUUCAGCCUCCUGAGUAGCUGGGAUUACAGGUCUGCACUAUGAGGCCCAGCUAAUUUUUGUAUUUUUAGUAGACACAGAGUUUUGCUAUGAGGCUGGUCUCGAACUCAUGACCUCAAGCCAUCCGCUGGCCUUGGCCUCCCAAAGCGCUGGGAUUGUAGGCGUGAGCCACCGUGACUGGCCCAAACAUUUAACAAAGAAAAACAGUGUAUCAUCUUUGAGAGACUAAUGAAAAGUCAAUAAAACAAAUCUGGUAGAAGUAUAAAUCACAGAGCAGAAUUGUAUUUUACCUUUCAUUAAAAGAAAAAAAAAAGGAUCUUAGUGUUCAGACAGUAGCUUGGGAAGGAGAUCAACACUGACUGAUAUCCAGUCAUUGUCAGUGUUCUGUUAAAACUGUUUUUUUUGAGACGGAGUCUCGCUCUGUCGCCCAGGCUGGAGUGCAGGCAUGUAUUACUUUUAUAAGUAAAAACUACCCCCAACAUGACUACUCAAGAAUGAGAUACUAUGAAGAAAAGUUCCAGAGCAUUUACAAGCUAAGAGAGGCAUUUCCCAUAGCUAUUAAUUCAAAAUAUAAGAAACCUCAAGUAUUUUGAACACUUAUACCUCUCCAGACUGGACACCCCGAUGCAGCAAUGUAUUUUCAUAACCACCCCUUCCAGAGAGUAUUACCUUUUAGAUAACUAAUGAGCUUUUUUUAAAAUAAAAAGUUUCUAUUAUGUGCAGCUAUAGAGCUAAAUGCUCACAACUACUCAGUAAAGAGAAACCUAGGCCUCGGAGGCUUUAGCCACUUGCCGACAAACUGAAUGACAGCUUCUGAAUGGCUCCUCUAUCACUUCCCCAUACAAAAACCUUUCCCACAGACACCUGGCCUUCCAACCUACUUCUACCAGUGUAGAAGCUUUUGUGCAUACUUUUAACCCAGACAGUUCAUGUCUAGGAAUUCUCCCAAGAAAAUAACCACGAUCACUUUUUUUGACUGAAAAGAAUAAAAUGGAUCUCGGGGUUUAAACUGUUGAUCAGAAAGGUUAUCACAAGUUCAGUAUUAUUUUCCUGUUCAACCAACAGUGCGUAAGUGGCUCAAGGUGAGUUCUAUUUUCAUGCUACCAAUAAAAUCCAGUGCAUUUAUAUAUAUUAACAUAAUUUAUAACUUUAUUUUGUAAUUUUAUAAAUUAUUUUUUAAAUAUUACUUCAUGUUUACGUGCAUUUUAUAAAAUUUAUAUAUAAAGUUACAUUUUAUACAUAAUGAGCUACGAAAAAGCACAAGCAGAAAUGGGCAAAUGUGAGAAGGGUAUGUGUAAAGACACACUGUGUUAAUUUCAGUAGAGGGAGGAGGGAUAGGAAGACAGUGGGAAGUGUUACUAUGAAAAUCCGCAUACAUAAAUAUUAAAUAAUAGAACCUAAUAAAAGACAGAUCCCAAACAUGAAAGGUUAUUUUGUUACUGUAACUUACUAAACUGACUUAAUCUAAUAAAAAUACUAUUUCUUCAUAGUAGUCAGGUAACAAUAAAAAACAUACAGGAAAAUGGUUAAAAAAAACUACAGGUAAUCUACCCAAUGGAUCAUUAUGCAGCCACAAAAAUUCCACUUAGCACAGUUUAUAACACGAAAAACCCACCUGUUAUGUUGUUAAAUGAAAUGGCAGAGUACAAAGACAUAAUAUGAAAAAAGUGACUACAAAAUUCAAAAACAUGCAUUAAUUUAAAAAAAUCUAUGUGGUAAGAAGACAGACAUGGAUACUAUUCCUCAAAAUGUUUUGUACUGGUCAAUUUGUAAAAUCCAACCUUACCACAGUCUUCACAUUUUUAUAUAUGAGAUAUAUUUCAAAAUGUGUUACUUUUAUAGUGAAGUAGAAGACAAGAAAUGUCGUGUAUAGCCACACUAUAGUCUGGGGUUAUUUAGUGCAGGGACAAACAUCCCUAAAUACAGCUUUUUGGGCAUUAGUAGUAUCAC
rnacentral:lncRNA from 1 species